rnacentral:rRNA from 1 species
GGCCUUGACAUACUAAGAACUUUCCAGAGAUGGAUUGGUGCCUUCGGGAACUUAGAUACAGGUGCUGCAUGGCUGUCGUCAGCUCGUGUCGUGAGAUGUUGGGUUAAGUCCGCAACGAGCGCAACCCUUUUCCUUAUUUGCAGCGGGUAAUGCCGGGAACUUUAAGGAUACUGCCAGUGACAAACUGGAGGAAGGCGGGGACGACGUCAAGUCAUCAUGGCCCUUACGGCCAGGGCUACACACGUGCUACAAUGGUCGGUACAAAGGGUUGCUACCUCGCGAGAGGAUGCUAAUCUCAAAAAGCCGAUCGUAGUCCGGAUCGCAGUCUGCAACUCGACUGCGUGAAGUCGGAAUCGCUAGUAAUCGCGGAUCAGAAUGCCGCGGUGAAUACGUUCCCGGGCCUUGUACACACCGCCCGUCACACCAUGGGAGUUUGUUGCACCAGAAGUAGGUAGUCUAACCGCAAGGAGGACGCUUACCACGGUGUGGCCGAUGACUGGGGUGAAGUCGUAACAAGGUAAGCGUAGAUGA